AGGCAAUAAAACUGUAGCAGGAAGGUAUAGGGUUAUAAGGCCCAGCUAUAAUACCUAAAUUAUAAGAAGUGCCAUGCAAAAAUAAUGAUGA